AGGCAGCAGUGGGGAAUUUUGCGCAAUGGGGGAAACCCUGACGCAGCAACGCCGCGUGCGGGAUGACGGCCUUCGGGUUGUAAACCGCUUUCAGUAGGGAAGAACAUCGACGGUACCUACAGAAGAAGCCCCGGCUAACUACGUGCC
rnacentral:rRNA from 1 species